CGGAGGAUCCAAGCGUUAUCCGGAAUCAUUGGGUUUAAAGGGUCCGUAGGCGGUUUAGUAAGUCAGUGGUGAAAGCCCAUCGCUCAACGGUGGAACGGCCAUUGAUACUGCUGAACUUGAAUUAUUAGGAAGUAACUAGAAUAUGUAGUGUAGCGGUGAAAUGCUUAGAGAUUACAUGGAAUACCAAUUGCGAAGGCAGGUUACUACUAAUGGAUUGACGCUGAUGGACGAAAGCGUGGGUAGCGAACAGGAUUAGAUACCCUGGUAGUCCACGCCGUAAACGAUGGAUACUAGCUGUUGGGAGCAAUCUCAGUGGCUAAGCGAAAGUGAUAAGUAUCCCACCUGGGGAGUACGUUCGCAAGAAUG
rnacentral:rRNA from 1 species